GCCUAACACAUGCAAGUCGAGCGGAUGACAGGAGCUUGCUCCUGAAUUCAGCGGCGGACGGGUGAGUAAUGCCUAGGAAUCUGCCUGGUAGUGGGGGACAACGUUUCGAAAGGAACGCUAAUACCGCAUACGUCCUACGGGAGAAAGCAGGGGACCUUCGGGCCUUGCGCUAUCAGAUGAGCCUAGGUCGGAUUAGCUAGUUGGUGAGGUAAUGGCUCACCAAGGCGACGAUCCGUAACUGGUCUGAGAGGAUGAUCAGUCACACUGGAACUGAGACACGGUCCAGACUCCUACGGGAGGCAGCAGUGGGGAAUAUUGGACAAUGGGCGAAAGCCUGAUCCAGCCAUGCCGCGUGUGUGAAGAAGGUCUUCGGAUUGUAAAGCACUUUAAGUUGGGAGGAAGGGCAUUAACCUAAUACGUUAGUGUUUUGACGUUACCGACAGAAUAAGCACCGGCUAACUCUGUGCCAGCAGCCGCGGUAAUACAGAGGGUGCAAGCGUUAAUCGGAAUUACUGGGCGUAAAGCGCGCGUAGGUGGUUUGUUAAGUUGGAUGUGAAAUCCCCGGGCUCAACCUGGGAACUGCAUUCAAAACUGACAAGCUAGAGUAUGGUAGAGGGUGGUGGAAUUUCCUGUGUAGCGGUGAAAUGCGUAGAUAUAGGAAGGAACACCAGUGGCGAAGGCGACCACCUGGACUGAUACUGACACUGAGGUGCGAAAGCGUGGGGAG
rnacentral:rRNA from 1 species